rnacentral:rRNA from 1 species
GACAGAGGUGCCAAGCGUUAGGCGGAAUCACUGGGCUUAAAGCGUGUGUAGGCGGGUGCCUAAGUACCUUGUGAAAUCCCCCCGGCUCAACCGGGGAACGGCUGGGUAUACUGGGUGCCUUGGGUCAUCUAGGGGCUGCCGGAACAAAUGGUGGAGCGGUGAAAUGCGUAGAUAUCAGGAGGAACACCGGUGGCGAAGGCGGGUCU